AUUGAACGCUGGCGGCAGGCUUAACACAUGCAAGUCGAGCGGGGAAAGGUAGCUUGCUACCUGACCUAGCGGCGGACGGGUGAGUAAUGCUUAGGAAUCUGCCUAUUAGUGGGGGACAACGUUCCGAAAGGAACGCUAAUACCGCAUACGUCCUACGGGGGAAAGCAGGGGAUCUUCGGACCUUGCGCUAAUAGAUGAGCCUAGGUCGGAUUAGCUAGUUGGUGGGGUAAAGGCCUACCAAGGCGACGAUCUGUAGCGGGUCUGAGAGGAUGAUCCGCCACACUGGGACUGAAACACGGCCCAGACUCCUACGGGAGGCAGCAGUGGGGACUAUUGGACAAUGGGCGCAAGCCUGAUCCAGCCAUGCCGCGUGUGUGAAGAAGGCCUUUUGGUUGUAAAGCACUUUAAGCGAGGAGGAGGCUCCUUUAGUUAAUACCUAAAGUGAGUGGACGUUACUCGCAGAAUAAGCACCGGCUAACUCUGUGCCAGCCGCCGCGGUAAAAC
rnacentral:rRNA from 1 species